rnacentral:lncRNA from 1 species
UAAGGUGUCGUUUUUUUAACUUUGAACAAUUAAUGGGUUGACAAAACACAGAAAAAAAAAGAUAUUCAAAUUUCAAUGACUUUUCCUUUUUUUUUCUUUCUCUAUUUUUUUUUUUUUUGUCUUAUUCAUUGGACUGAGCUUAAAAUUACCCGAGGGUGACAUUUAUUUCCCGACGCAGUGCAGCCACCCCUCCCAGUGCCGGUGCAUGCUAGCAGGUCUGAAACAAUCCCUAAUUCCAACAACAACCACUUGUAAGCCCCUACAGGGACGAGCUGCGGUCGGCUCCGGUUACCUCCCUGGAAUGUGCUCUCCAUUGUUUCAAGCGACCCUGUGUCAUGGCGGCAGCGUAAAUAAAACUGGAGGGUCCGCCGCCACUGAUAGUGCCCGCGCUCUCCGACGCCGAAAAUUACGGAGCAGCUAAUUUCCCCCUCACCAUGCACUCCUCCUCUCCCUCCCCUCCACAUACACACACCACCACCUCCACCUCCGCCACCACCAGCGGUUCCUUGAGUCGACGUCAGGGGAGGUAGACUGGGGUGGAUGGGUCUUGUUAUCGUUCUUGCCACUCAUCUACUCUCCACCUCCCCGCCGUCUACUCCAUCUCCCCGUUCGUUCGCAAGGUGAAGGAGUGUCGUCUGCUUUUCACGGCAAAAAUUGGAUAGCUUCGGGCCUGACUAAUCGGGGACAAAAAGAUAUGUUUGAAGUUAACAAGCGAGUCCUCCUUAUACCCCCCUAUCCCCAGUCCCAACCUCACCACUCUUCUUUCGGCAAACCCUGCCCACCCAUCCCACCUCGGAGGUCCUUUCUCUUUUCUUAGGCUCCUCCUAUGGGCAAGGCAACCACCUUUGUCGAGGACGAAGUGACUGUUUCGGGGGUUAGGGAGGGUUAGGGGGGAAAAGGUAGAAGUGUAGCUAUCUCUCACUAGUGUCGUCUGCCAGACACUGAGUAGAGAUGGCCAGUUAGAAGCGCCACCUUUCCUCUGCAGGACUUCUGGUGAAGUAGCUCCAGGAGAGUGGUAGCUGUCUUGCCAGACUUUAGUACCCGCAGGUGACUUUCUCACACCCGUGUACUCAGGUACGUCGCUGCGUCCUACCUUGCAGCCUGUCGAUGUCCGUGACUCAAAAGUACGGAAGUACACCCGAGGUGGAUGACUGUGGAUGCCAGUCAUCAUCUACCUAGCUCUCUGCGGUCUCCUCCAAGGUCUUUGGUUACCUGAGCCGCGGCAGGGGAGGGGCCUGUGCCCGCCCUCCAUCAGGAAGCCGCCGGCUAUUGUCUGGGUUCCAGAAGUCCAGGGGUCGUGUGGUCAUCAGAGAAGAUUGCGGCUAUCUGCGGACUCCCAGUGCUCCGGCGGGUCUGGACCGAGGCUCCCCCCCAAAGCUCUUCUCCUCCGCGUGGUGGCUACCUGGACACGUCGCGGCGCUCUCGGCUUACCUCGUCGUUUGUUUCCUGGCGAUGGUUUCAUCUGAAGCUCUUUGAUACCAAGGUCGGAGGAAAAAGUUACCUGUUUACUUUGUUUGCUGCUGCUGCUGCUGCUGCCACUGUGCACGGCUAAGGACAGGUAGCACAGUCUGUGUCGUCAACUUUCGUUGCACACCUGGCAGGGUCGUAUUGCGAGGUCGACACUAACAAGUAGAAGACAUUUGUUUGAACUAUUUAACUCUCGAGUGACUCUAACAGAGGAGAUGUUGUUUGGAAUUCAUUGUCCCUGAUGACGGAGGAGUGACCAAACAUUUUCUGCGACUUAAUUUCUUCGACCAGCUGAGGACUAUUCUCCAGCUUUCAGCAAAAGAUAAAUACACAGAUUAGACACUAAUGGCUGACGUCAUCACUGCAGUACCCCAUCCGCACUACCCGGUGCCAGUGUGGCCGGCCGCCACCUGUCCUGUCAGCUCCUGUCCGUGGCAGACGAUGCACGUGCACCCCUGGCACGGACCCCACCUCCUGUCCCGCCUCGUGCUGUCUUCCUACCCCUCCUUUCAGCCCCUCCGCCUCCAGACUACCCCACCCUGUCCCCGGCACACAGCUGCUGGAAGUUCCACGAGACGCCGGUGGGCGCUAGUUGCCAUAGCGACCAGACCUGGAGGCCGUACUUGCCGUCAACGUCGUCGUCGUCGACGGGUCAUCAGGUGGAGUUGUCGGUGUUGUCAACAACCACCUCGGAGGAGGUGUCGGUGUCGUUCACAAAGAGAGUCCUGUCGCAUGCAGUGUGCAGGAGAGCAGCCAGCAGAAUGUCAAAGGUCAAAAACCUCGUUUCGACUUCGCUCACCUGGCACUGUCUGCCACAGAGGGCCAAGAACCAGGUGACACCCAGUCACGUGAUGCACAAGUCAUUACGUUUGUCAUGGCCAGCCCGCACAGUCA